UUUAAAAAAAAUUACGGGACGGGUAAAGAAAUUACAGAACGGAUUUUACUUUGGAAUUGGGUUAUAUGGUGGAUGUAUUUGAAUCAUUAUUU
rnacentral:sRNA from 1 species